rnacentral:rRNA from 1 species
GAUGAACGCUAGCGGCAGGCCUAACACAUGCAAGUCGAGGGGCAGCACAGAAACAGCAAUGUUUUGGUGGCGACCGGCGGACGGGUGCGUAACGCGUAUGCAACCUACCUUUAACAGGGGGAUAACGGAGAGAAAUUUCCACUAAUACCCCAUAACAUCGAUCAAGGCAUCUUGAUUGGUUGAAAACUCCGGUGGUGAAAGAUGGGCAUGCGUUGUAUUAGGUAGUUGGUGAGGUAAUGGCUCACCAAGCCUACGAUACAUAUGGGGACUGAGAGGUUAGCCCCCCACACUGGUAAUAAGACACGGCCCAGACUCCUACGGGAGGCAGCAGUGAGGAAUAUUGGUCAAUGAGGGCAACCCUGAACCAGCCAUGCGGCGUGCAGGAAGACGGCUCUAUGAGUUGUAAACUGCUUUUAAACAGGGAUAAAGCACAGUAUGUAUACUGUGUUGAAGGUACUGUAAGAAUAAGGAUCGGCUAACUCCGUGCCAGCCGCCGCGGUAA